UACGGGGGGAGCAAGCGUUGUUCGGAUUUACUGGGCGUAAAGCGCGUGUAGGCGGUUCGGUAAGUCCGCUGUGAAAGUCGGGGGCUCAACCCUCGGAUGGCGGUGGAUACUGUCGGGCUUGAGUACGGAAGAGGCGAGUGGAAUUCCUGGUGUAGCGGUGAAAUGCGCAGAUAUCAGGAGGAACACCAAUGGCGAAGGCAGCUCGCUGGGACGGUACUGACGCUGAGACGCGAAAGCGUGGGGAGCAAACAGG
rnacentral:rRNA from 1 species